CAGAAACAUGUGAGGUAUAUAGGACUAAGACUAGUAAUUAUUUCCCCUUAUUUCAUGAUGGACGAAUGUAGUGCGAGUUAUAAAUAGACAAUUUUUCCCUUAAUUUUUUUCUCCCCUCUUCCUGCAUUUUUGGGUUGACUUUUUGGUCUAGAAUUGGAGAAAAGGGAUCAAAUUUGCAAUUUCAUAGCAGUUUUGGGUAAUACUGAUGAUAUUACAGCGGAGGGAUAGGGGGUGUAAAGUGUCUUUCUGCAGAGCAAUCAUUGUGUCGGAAGUGAGAUUUUCACCCCUGUCAACUUCAAAUCCGUGUAGCAAAAAAUCUAAACGGUCAACCCCCUACAAAAUUAUGAUGAGGAGAUUGCCAAAUGUUGUCCCCAUUGUGCCUAUAAAGAUUGGAACCAACGGAAUGUUGAGCAAAAAGCUACAGCCUGUGAUGUUACAGUCAUUUAACAUUGAAGUCAAUGGGCAAAUAAUUGCUAGUCUGAGUCCUGAUGAUAUAAAGAAGCAUGGCCGACUCGGGAUGUUGAUAUUUUUUCAAGGGCUUAUUUCCUGAAGUUUUGAAUGGAAAGUGUCAGAAAUAGUGCCAGGACAAUGUUUCAUAGAGUGGAAUGAUUGACCUCAACACAAGUAUUAAAAAAAAAGAAGCAAAACAGGUGCCAGGACAAUGUUUCAUAGAGUGGAAUGAUUGACCUCAACACAAGUAUUAAAAAAAAAGAAGCAAAACAGGUCUACAUCUCAAAACCUGAUCUCUUCCUGGACUGGCUUUAGGAGAACGAUGAUGCAUAUCAAUUUCAUCCCUGAUCUCUAUGACACCUGUGGUGGAAGUGGAGGGCAAAUCGUAAUCAGUUUGGGUUCCAGCCCCGAGGACCUCUGUAAACUUUGCUUUUUGGUGAUGACUUAAUUUCCGAGCUUGAAAAGGACGCUUGUGUGUUUAUCAUGGCCUCUCAUAUUGGAAGAUAACAUUAAUGGCUUGUGUGUUGAUCGACGGUUGUGCAUAUCUCUUGGUCAGGACAGGUGUAGGCACCAUCGCCAUUGUAAAUCAUUUGACAGGCCUGAGUGAACGGGGCGACCUAUGAUUGGUCAGCAAUGUAUCAGAUUCCAUACCGGGGGGUGGGGAUGAAAAAACUGUUGUAGUGUUACAUAAUCAGAUUAUUUCAACUUACUUAUCCUGUGGAAAUACAGCUAUAUAGGAGAUAUUUUGAAAUUCAUAGGCACUGCAUGUUUCAACAUUUUAGAUUUGACCACAAUUUGGCACUUGAAACUAUGUUAACAGAGAAAAACUGUGUGGUUUUCGAUGAAAGUGUUAAAAGUCUAAUAUUGCAUCAUGAUUACUGUUUUAAAGUAUUUUCGUGUUUGAUUUAUAUUGAAUUCAUCUCAUCUUUUUGAAGAAUGCAUUUAUGUUCAAAAAUAAAAAUGUUCUGUGGAAUUCAAAAUUCAUGUGCUUUUAAAUUAUCAGAUUCCAAACUGGGGGGUAGGGAUGAAAAAGCUGUUGUAGUGUUACAUAAUCAGAUUAUUUCAACUUACUUAUCCUAUGGAAAUACAGCUAUAUAGGAGAUAUUUUAAAAUUGAUAGGCACUGCAUGUUUCAACAUUUUAGAUUUGACCACAAUUUGGCACUUGAAACUACGUUAACAGAGAAAAACUGUGUGGUUUUCGAUGAAAGUGUUAAAAAGUCUAAUAUUGCAUCAUGAUUACUGUUUUAAAGUAUUUUCGUGUUUGAUUUAUAUUGAAUUUAUCUCAUCUUUUUACAGAAUGCAUUUAUGUUCAAAAAUAAAAAUGUUCUGUUUAAUUCAAAAUUCAUGUGCUUUUAAAUUUCUGUCUGAAAUUCCGCAGUUUUCUGAUGCAUUAUAGUGUUUGCAGAAUGCCGCACAGCUCAUCUGAAAAUGCAUAGAUUUUCAUAUUCCUUGGUCAGGGAAUUGCAUAUAUGUUUGUUUAUUAGAUAACAACAGAUUUGUUUAAACUGCAGAAACAUGUGAGGUAUAUGAUAUAAAGAAGCAUGGCCGACUCGGGAUGUUGAUAUUUUUUCAAGGGCUUAUUUCCUGAAGUUUUGAAUGGAAAGUGUCAGAAAUAGUGCCAGGACAAUGUUUCAUAGAGUGGAAUGAUUGACCUCAACACAAGUAUUAAAAAAAAAGAAGCAAAACAGGUGCCAGGACAAUGUUUCAUAGAGUGGAAUGAUUGACCUCAACACAAGUAUUAAAAAAAAAGAAGCAAAACAGGUCUACAUCUCAAAACCUGAUCUCUUCCUGGACUGGCUUUAGGAGAACGAUGAUGCAUAUCAAUUUCAUCCCUGAUCUCUAUGACACCUGUGGUGGAAGUGGAGGGCAAAUCGUAAUCAGUUUGGGUUCCAGCCCCGAGGACCUCUGUAAACUUUGCUUUUUGGUGAUGACUUAAUUUCCGAGCUUGAAAAGGACGCUUGUGUGUUUAUCAUGGCCUCUCAUAUUGGAAGAUAACAUUAAUGGCUUGUGUGUUGAUCGACGGUUGUGCAUAUCUCUUGGUCAGGACAGGUGUAGGCACCAUCGCCAUUGUAAAUCAUUUGACAGGCCUGAGUGAACGGGGCGACCUAUGAUUGGUCAGCAAUGUAUCAGAUUCCAUACCGGGGGGUGGGGAUGAAAAAACUGUUGUAGUGUUACAUAAUCAGAUUAUUUCAACUUACUUAUCCUGUGGAAAUACAGCUAUAUAGGAGAUAUUUUGAAAUUCAUAGGCACUGCAUGUUUCAACAUUUUAGAUUUGACCACAAUUUGGCACUUGAAACUAUGUUAACAGAGAAAAACUGUGUGGUUUUCGAUGAAAGUGUUAAAAGUCUAAUAUUGCAUCAUGAUUACUGUUUUAAAGUAUUUUCGUGUUUGAUUUAUAUUGAAUUCAUCUCAUCUUUUUGAAGAAUGCAUUUAUGUUCAAAAAUAAAAAUGUUCUGUGGAAUUCAAAAUUCAUGUGCUUUUAAAUUAUCAGAUUCCAAACUGGGGGGUAGGGAUGAAAAAGCUGUUGUAGUGUUACAUAAUCAGAUUAUUUCAACUUACUUAUCCUAUGGAAAUACAGCUAUAUAGGAGAUAUUUUAAAAUUGAUAGGCACUGCAUGUUUCAACAUUUUAGAUUUGACCACAAUUUGGCACUUGAAACUACGUUAACAGAGAAAAACUGUGUGGUUUUCGAUGAAAGUGUUAAAAAGUCUAAUAUUGCAUCAUGAUUACUGUUUUAAAGUAUUUUCGUGUUUGAUUUAUAUUG